CAAAGGCCUGAGAACCUGAGGGUCGCUGGUGCAAAUCAGGAGGCUGAAUGCUGGAGACCCUGGAGUUCCAAUAAGCAGAAGAAGGGUGUCCCAGCUCUGGAGGAGGGAGGGAAUUCACCUUUCCUCUUUUUGCUCUAUAUGGGUCUUCAAUGGAUUGGACAGUGUCACCUAUAUUGGGUGAGAGUGAACCUUCCUUUCUCAGUCUACUGACUCAAAUGCCAGUCUAUAUGCCAAAAUCCCUAGCAGAAGAAAUCCAUUCAUUGCACUGGCAGUGCCAAGAGUGGGGUGGUCCAGUACCUCUUUAAAGUCUAAAUUAAUGCAAAAAAAUCACAAUGAAUAAAAUAACAAAAUGAGAACAAAGAUGAGAUUCUAAUUUCCAAUUUUUCCUUUGUGCUAGCUGCUGUCCGAUUAGGAAAGGCAGAGGCAGACAAGCCUCGCAUAUUUGGGACUUGGCGUCACACACCUUUCAGACUGGCUAAAAUUAAGCCUGACAAUACAACAAUUUCAAGAGAGUGAUUGCAAUUGAGAAGGAUGUACUCUGGAGACCUUAGAGUUACUGGUAAUGUUCUAUUGCUCAAGCUGCAGGGUGGAUACACAGGUGUUCACAGAGUUAUUGUUACUGUUCAAAUCACACAUGCAGAUAUUACUAUAUAUUUAUUCAUAUGCUUGAAAUAUAUUUUCUAAUAAAAAAUUAAGGGGUGUGGAUGAAAUGGCAGAAGGCAU
rnacentral:lncRNA from 1 species